GACGAACGCUGGCGGCGUGCUUAACACAUGCAAGUCGAACGGAAAGGCCCUGCUUUUGUGGGGUGCUCGAGUGGCGAACGGGUGAGUAACACGUGAGUAACCUGCCCUUGACUUUGGGAUAACUUCAGGAAACUGGGGCUAAUACCGGAUAGGAGCUCCUGCUGCAUGGUGGGGGUUGGAAAGUUUCGGCGGUUGGGGAUGGACUCGCGGCUUAUCAGCUUGUUGGUGGGGUAGUGGCUUACCAAGGCUUUGACGGGUAGCCGGCCUGAGAGGGUGACCGGCCACAUUGGGACUGAGAUACGGCCCAGACUCGUACGGGAGGCAGCAGUGGGGAAUAUGGCACAAUGGGCGGAAGCCUGAUGCAGCAACGCCGCGUGCGGGAUGACGGCCUUCGGGUUGUAAACCGCUUUCGCCUGUGACGAAGCGUGAGUGACGGUAAUGGGUAAAGAAGCACCGGCUAACUACGUG
rnacentral:rRNA from 1 species